GCAAAAAAGAAGAAGCUGCCGUCGAGCGCGCACGUGUUUGCAAAGUGAUUGUGAAAUAUGAAAGCUUGGAAAUAUAUUAUUUUUACAUCGUGAGCCGUCAAAUAUAUGAUUUAUGUAUGUAUUAAUACGUAAAAAUGCGUGGUUCGACUUUAUAUUAAAUUUGUGGAUGCACACGCAAAACCAAGCCGACGCCUUUGGAAUAGAGAAAACCGAUACAAGACGAGACAACGCACUGGGGG